UUGUAUAAUCCAAUCCCCAAUUGACAAGCAAUUUUGCCUCUUUACUUCCUGCUUACUUAUCCUGCAUAAGCUCUAGACCACCAGAGAUCAGGGCUUGAUAUUCUGGGAAUGAUGUGGAUCAGCGCCCGUGGACCCUCGUCACCCGUAGCUUGAGGUGUGGAGAUGAAGAAGCACUCACCAACAGUGGAAAGCCCCACAGGCACAAGGACUUCUGUAGGAUUUUACACAUCAGGCAGGAAACCACCCUCAGCUUCAAAAGGGAACAGAAAACUAAUGUAUAGAAAAGCUCACCACUCCAUGGACCAGUUUACAGCCAAAGAUUAAAGUACCCAGGCCUGUAUAUCCAUCC